rnacentral:rRNA from 1 species
UACGUAGGGUGCAAGCGUUGUCCGGAAUUAUUGGGCGUAAAGAGCUCGUAGGCGGUCUGUUGCGUCGGCUGUGAAAACCCGAGGCUCAACCUCGGGCCUGCAGCCGAUACGGGCAGACUAGAGUUCGGCAGGGGAGACUGGAAUUCCUGGUGUAGCGGUGAAAUGCACAGAUAUCAGGAGGAACACCGGUGGCGAAGGCGGGUCUCUGGGCCGAUACUGACGCUGAGGAGCGAAAGCGUAGGGAGCGAACGGG